AGAGUACAUGUUUUCCCUUUCAAGGGGGAAAAAAAAAAAAAGAUUACUACCAUAGAACAGUUUGUCGGCCAAAUCGAAUUUACGUAUAAAUCGAGAGAGAAGAAUUAAUCCGUGGGAUAACCGCGAGGUAAACUGACCUCAAAGGAUGUCUUUGAUGUACUUUUGAAGGAUCAUAUUGACAAGGACCCUGUAUGUUCUCUCCGUGGGAUGGUAACUGUCCCAAAAUAGGUACUUGGAAUCGUCUGAACAUACUCUGGACAAUUUGUUACAUAGUACGGCUGCCUCUAUUAUCCCCGUGCCACAACAACCAGUAUCGACAAUAGAAAAUCC